UGGGGGAUAUUGCACAAUGGGCGAACGCCUGAUGCAGCGACGCCGCGUGGGGGAUGAAGGCUUUCGGGUUGUAAACCUCUUUCGCUAUCGAACAAGGCCCGCUUAGGGUGGGUUGAGGGUAGGUGGAGAAGAAGCGCCGGCUAACUACGUGCCAGCAGCCGCGGUAAUACGUAGGGCGCGAGCGUUGUCCGGAAUUAUUGGGCGUAAAGGGCUUGUAGGCGGCUUGUUGCGCCUGCUGUGAAAACGCGGGGCUUAACUUCGCGCGUGCAGUGGGUACGGGCAGGCUUGAGUGUGGUAGGGGUGACUGGAAUUCCAGGUGUAGCGGUGGAAUGCGCAGAUAUCUGGAGGAACACCGAUGGCGAAGGCAGGUCACUGGGCCAUUACUGACGCUGAGGAGCGAAAGCAUGGGUAGCGAACAGG
rnacentral:rRNA from 1 species